GACCUCGGAUCAGGUAGGGAUACCCGCUGGAACUUAA
rnacentral:rRNA from 1 species